AAAACCAAGCAGUGAUUUAAGGGCUUAAAAUGAACACCAGCUUCGAAUGGAGUUCCUCAGAUCAAGGAAAAUUUUGUGGGUUCUGAAGAGAACGAUGUGGAACCACUGAUGGAGUUGGUGCUGCCUCACAGGAUGAGAAGGUGGAUAGCUUGAGAAAUCAGGCAAAAGACUUCAAGUUCUCUAGCAGCUGAAAAAAGAUCAGAAUUAGAAGAUUACUUAGCCUCACAGAUGGCGCCAGAAUUAAGCUCCGAACACUGACAGCCCGAGCCAUAAUACUGUGGUGCUAACCAUUACCGUGUUUUUCUCAGCAUAAUUCAAUUCUCCAAAACAUGGGACAGACUAUGAUCAUGCUCCAAUGAAACUUUCCAUCAAGUUAAUGGACACCUCUUGUACUAGCAGACAAUGGCGGUUUAACCCUAUUUUGCUUCAAGAUCAGGACUUUGUCAAAUUUAUAAAGGAGCAGAUUGAUUUCCUUCUUUUCAACUAAUACUACGGAAGAAGUUUCCAAUGGAACUGUUUGGGAUGCCUUUAAAGCUUAUAUCCGUGGUCAGAUUAUUUCCUAUUCGGCCUGUUUGAAAAGACGUGUUAACAAUGAAAUACUUUUGUUGGUUGAUAAAAUUAAAGAAGUCUAAAAAAUAUGCUAUUUCUCCCAGUAAGGAGCUGUACAAACACAGAGUUGAACUCCAAUUGGAACAUAGCUUAUUAUCCUCAAUCGAAAAUCAAUUAAUGAGAACUAGAAGUGAUUUUUAUAUUCAUAGCGAUAAAUCAGGUAAAUUACUGGCUAACCAAUUGAAAUUUGAUUCGGUUAAACGUCAAAUUACUAAGAUUUGCAAACAGGAUGAUACUUUCACAGUUGAUCAUGUUGGGAUAAACCAAACCUUUCAAGAAUUUUAUACCUCUUUACAUCACUCUGAUUUUCCUCAUGAUUCUAAUUUCAUGCAUGAUUUUUUAGGUAAAUUGAGUUUUCCGAAAUUAUCAACCGAAGAGUCCCUAUCAUUAGAAACUUCCAUUUCAGAGGAAGAAAUAAUAACUGCAAUCUCAUCAUUGAAUUCCGGUAAAGCACCCGGUCCGGAUGGGUUUACAGUGAAAUUUUUAAAAAUUUUUUUCCUCCAUUCUUUCUUCUAAGUUGUCUAGAAUAUUCAAGGAGGCAAUCAGUUUAGGUAAAUUACCACAAUCGUUUUACGAAGCCUCUAUUUCCUUAAUGCUUAAAAAGAAUAAAGACCCUACUGAUUGCGCAUCAUACAGACCGAUAUCUCUUCUGAAUGUAGACUCAAAAAUUUUUUCAAAAAUUCUAGCAACUAGAUUGGAGAAGGUGUUACCUCAAAUUAUUUCUAUGGAUCAAACCGGAUUUAUUAAAAAUCGCUAUUCAUCCUUUAAUAUUAGGAGGUUAAUAAAUAUUGUUUAUACCCCCUCAUUUACUACCCCGGAAUGUAUUAUCUCUUUAGAUGCUGAGAAAGCCUUUGACAGAGUUGAAUGGCCUUAUUUAUUUAAUGUUCUCGAGAAAUUUAAUUUUAAAUUGACAUUUAUAUCUUGGAUUAAAUUGUUAUAUUACUCCCCGGUAGCCUCGGUUUGUACAAAUAAUUAUAGAUCUCCUUUUUUUCGUCUUUUUCGUGGCACUAGGCAAGGUUGCCCUCUUAGUCCUUUACUAUUCAAUAUUGCUCUUGAACCUUUAGCAAUUGCUAUUCGUGACUCGCCAAAUAUUGUUGGUAUUACCCGUGGAAACUAAAUACAUAAAUUAUCAUUACAUGCAGAUGAUUUGUUGUUAUACAUCUCUAACCCGGAGAAGUCAAUUCCUGCUAUCUUAGAUCUGUUAGCUCAUUUUAGUAACUUCUCUGGUUACAAAUUGAAUCUUGAUAAGAGUGAAUUAUUCCCUUUAAAUAAGCAUGUACCUACUUAUGGACGUUUACCAUUUAAAUUGGUUACUGAUUCAUUUAUAUAUUUAGGGAUAACAAUUACAAAAAAAUAUAAAGAUUUAUUUAAAGCUAAUUUUUUACCUUUAAUUGAUCAGAUUAAACUUUUAUUUACCAAAUGGUCGCCAAUCUCUUUGUCUUUGAUUGGUCGGAUUAAUGCUAUUAAGAUGAUCAUUUUACCCAAAUUUUUGUAUAUAUUCCAAUCGGUUCCAGUUUUCAUCCCAAAAUCUUUUUUUGAUAACGUAGAUUCAAAAAUUUCCUCAUAUAUUUGGCAGAAUAAAAGUCCUAGGUUAGGUAAAAGGUAUCUACAGAAAUCUAAAAAGGAGGGGGGGCUCGCCCUCCCAAAUUUUAGAUUUUAUUACUGGGCAAUUAAUAUUCGAUAUUUAAAAUUUUGGUUAUGAGAUUUGGACGUAUCUUUAAACCCUCAUUGGGUAAAUCUUGAAUCUAAUUCAUUUACAAGGGUUUUCCUUGGGUUCGGUUUUAGGAACUUCACUUCCUUUUACUUCUUUUAAAUUAUAUAAACAAAUGAAUAACCCAAUAGUUAAGCAUACUUUACGUAUAUGGUUUCAAUUCCGAAGAUUUUUUGGGUUUAAUCAAUUUAUUCUAGCAAGUCCCAUCAUAUCAAAUUUUCUUUUUCAACCUUCCACGAUGGAUCAAGCUUACUUUGAUUGGAAAACCAAAGGUAUAAUAUCUUUUCGCGAUUUAUUUUUGGAUAAUUUUUUUAUGUCUUUUGAUCAACUCUCUAAUAAAUAUAACUUACCCAGAUCUCACUUUUUUAGAUAUUUACAGAUUAGAAACUUUUUAGUUACUGUUUCCCCUAAUUUUCCACACCCAUAUCCAAUGGACAUUUUGGAAAAAAUCCUAGAUUUAAAUCUCUCUCAGAAAAGUGUAGUAGCAAUUAUAUAUAAUUAUGAAUUUAUGUCCUGAUGCUUCUAAUAAAAUUAAACCUGACUGGGAAAGAGAACUUGAGAUUAAUAUACCAACUGAAAAAUGGGAAAAAAUUCUUCAGUUGGUGAAUGCAUUCUCUGUAUGUGCUAAGCAUAGGUUGAUACAGUUUAAAGUAGUGCACAGGGCUCACAUGUGCAAAGAUAAACUAUCUCGCUAUUACUCUUAUAUUAAUCCAAUAUGUGACAGAUGUCAUUUCGAGAUAGCUUCUUUAACCCACAUGUUUUGGUCAUGUCCCUUGUUGGAGAAAUAUUGGAAAGAUAUUUUUGAUAUUAUUUCAACGGUCCUGAACAUAGACUUACAACCUCGUCCAAUUACUGCUAUCUUUGGACUACCAAUGAUAGAUUUAAAUAAUUUAACCUCUUCAUCACGAAGGAUGAUUGCAUUUCUCACUUUAAUGGCUAGAAGGUCCAUUUUGUUGAAUUGGAAAGAGAUUAACCCUCCUAAGGUAUUUCAUUGGUUUUCACAAACUAUGGUGUGUUUGAAUUUGGAGAAAAUUAGAAGUGCAGUUUAUGACCCUUCCAUUAAGUUUGAAAAAAACUUAGAGGCCAUUCAUUCAGCAUUUUCAUUUGAUGUAAUUUGAUCAUUUCCAAACUUGUUUUAUCUCUCUGUACCGUUGUUGGAGGGGGAGGGAGUCGUCGACACUAACGUUUUCUUCUUUUCCAUUUUUAAGUUGUUAGUUUUGCCCAAGUCUUUUAGUUUAGUUGAUUAAUUUUGUUUUUCUUUGGGGAUGGGGUUUGUUUUUUUUUUUGGUUUUGUUUUUUUUCUUUUUCAGGAUUUUUUUUUCCAGUUUUUUUUAUUUGUAUUAUCCGUUGUCAGUUCUACAUGAUUGGGAACUUUGUUAACUUACACUAUUUGAUUUUACAAUUACUUUUCCUAAGUGUAACAAUGUAUCUCCUACUAUUUGUAUUAUUGCUAUGUUUUGUUUCUAUAUUUUGAAAUUAAUAAAAAGAUUGAAAAAGAAAAGAAAAGCAACCUGUUCCAGGAAUAUUUUACCUGAGCAACACACAAAAGAUGAUGGGAAGAACUCAGCAGGUCAGGCAACAUCUAUGGAACUGAAUACAGUUGAUAUUUCAGGCCAAGACCCUUCUUCCUGACUGGAAAGGAAGGGGGAAGACACCAGAAUAAAAAGGUGGGGGGAGGAGAAAGAGGAUA